GUUAAGCGACUAAGCGUACACGGUGGAUGCCCUGGCAGUCAGAGGCGAUGAAGGGCGUGCUAAUCUGCGAUAAGCGCCGGUAAGGUGAUAUGAACCGUUAUAACCGGCGAUACCCGAAUGGGGAAACCCAGUGUGAUUCGUCACACUAUCAUUAACUGAAUCCAUAGGUUAAUGAGGCGAACCGGGGGAACUGAAACAUCUAAGUACCCCGAGGAAAAGAAAUCAACCGAGAUUCCCCCAGUAGCGGCGAGCGAACGGGGAGGAGCCCAGAGCCUGAAUCAGCAUGUGUGUUAGUGGAAGCGUCUGGAAAGGCGCGCGAUACAGGGUGACAGCCCCGUACACAAAAGCGCAU
rnacentral:rRNA from 1 species